UCUUUAGAGGUUUAUGUUAAGACUACUGUACUUGACUAAAUUUGAAUUAAAAAUAAAUAUUACUUAAGCACAGUGCAUACCUGUCAAAACUAAUUUGAAGUUUAAAUUAAUGUAGAUUGGCGCGAAGAAAAAUGAAGAGUACGUAUCUGAAUUGUUGCGUUAGCGAUAUGAGCCGUUGGAGGACGCGGACUCAUGUAACUUGCAUGCGUCCCUAUGGAAAAUGAUGGAAAAUGUUUAAUUUUUUACUGUUUUGAAAUAAAUACUUCAAUGACGUAAUGCGGUGUAAGAACAUCAACAGAAGAAUAUCUGAUGAGCAUCUAAGAUUAAAAUAAGAAAACACGAAAAAAAAAGUAUUUUAAAUUGAUUGGUAGCAAAAACCAAACUAAAUUCGUAACGAUAGACGUCAGCUACCCGAACGACAAUAAGAACAAUAUUAUUUAAUACCUUUGUUUAUUAUACCGGAGAAAAAAAUGCCGUUUUGUUAAAUUCAGAUAACCUGUAUCUUCAAGCCACAGUGAUUAAAUAACUUAUCCACUACUAUCGUAUUAGCUAUCGUACCAGUACUGCUACCUCGUGUUUUUGAAAACUUUUGCAUUGAUAAAUUAUAGUGUAUUGAUUUCUGCGAUGAAUAGUUUCGUAUUUAAAACACAGGAUAUUUAUAUUGACUAUAAAUUCUCUUGUAAAUAUGUUUUAAUUGCACACCGAGACUCUACGAAGGAAGAACGUAAAUUCAAAUGACAAUAUGAGAAUAAAAAAAAACAGUAAUAU